AAAUAUAACAUCGUUUCUUAAGAGCUUGACUUCAGCUCAACAUCUAUCUGCAAAACAGACCUGAUGAAAAUACUUGAGUUUCUGCAUCUCCUGACAAACAAAGAUGGUGGGAAUUCUGAAUAUCGUUGUCAUUGCCUGUUUGCUGCGAGGUGCCCUGUGUGGAGUGUUUGAGGCCAUAAUGCCACAGACUAUAGAGGUUGUUAGUGGAUCCUGUGUGACCAUCCCCUGCUCCUUUGACGUGACAGACCAGUUUGUAUCAAACCUAGACAACACAUGUAAAGCACUAUGGAAAAAAGAUGGAGUUACUGUGUUUGAUAGCAGCUAGCCACAAACAACUAUAAACUACGGAUAACUGACAGG